GAUGAACGCUGGCGGCGUGCCUAAUACAUGCAAGUCGAGCGAACAGACGAGGAGCUUGCUCCUCUGACGUUAGCGGCGGACGGGUGAGUAACACGUGGAUAACCUACCUAUAAGACUGGGAUAACUUCGGGAAACCGGAGCUAAUACUGGAUAAUAUAUUGAACCGCAUGGUUCAAUAGUGAAAGACGGUUUUGCUGUCACUUAUAGAUGGAUCCGCGCCGCAUUAGCUAGUUGGUAAGGUAACGGCUUACCAAGGCAACGAUGCGUAGCCGACCUGAGAGGGUGAUCGGCCACACUGGAACUGAGGCACGGUCCAGACUCCUACGGGAGGCAGCAGUAGGGAAUCUUCCGCAAUGGGCGAAAGCCUGACGGAGCAACGCCGCGUGAGUGAUGAAGGUCUUCGGAUCGUAAAACUCUGUUAUUAGGGAAGAACAAAUGUGUAAGUAACUAUGCACGUCUUGACGGUACCUAAUCAGAAAGCCACGGCUAACUACGUG
rnacentral:rRNA from 1 species